rnacentral:rRNA from 1 species
UACGUAGGGUGCGAGCGUUAAUCGGAAUUACUGGGCGUAAAGCGUGCGCAGGUGGUUUUGUAAGUCUGUCGUGAAAUCCCCGGGCUUAACCUGGGAAUUGCGAUGGAGACUGCAAGGCUAGAAUCUGGCAGAGGGGGGGUAGAAUUCCACGUGUAGCAGUGAAAUGCGUAGAGAUGUGGAGGAACACCGAUGGCGAAGGCAGCCCCCUGGGUCAAGAUUGACGCUCAUGCACGAAAGGCGUGGGGAGCAAACGAGG